rnacentral:rRNA from 1 species
GACGAACGCUGGCGGCGUGCUUAACACAUGCAAGUCGAACGGAAAGGCCCUGCUUUUGUGGGGUGCUCGAGUGGCGAACGGGUGAGUAACACGUGAGUAACCUGCCCUUGACUUUGGGAUAACUUCAGGAAACUGGGGCUAAUACCGGAUAGGAGCUCCUGCUGCAUGGUGGGGGUUGGAAAGUUUCGGCGGUUGGGGAUGGACUCGCGGCUUAUCAGCUUGUUGGUGGGGUAGUGGCUUACCAAGGCUUUGACGGGUAGCCGGCCUGAGAGGGUGACCGGCCACAUUGGGACUGAGAUACGGCCCAGACUGCUACGGGAGGCAGCAGUGGGGAAUAUUGCACAAUGGGCGGAAGCCUGAUGCAGCAACGUCGCGGGCGGGAUGACGGCCUUCGGGUUGUAAACCGCUUUCGCCUGUGACGAAGCGGGAGUGACGGUAAUGGGUAAAGAAGCACCGGCUAACUACGUG